rnacentral:rRNA from 1 species
GGAGGUAGUGACAAUAAAUCACAAUGCGGAACAAUGUUUUGCAAUUGGAUUGAGAACAACGUACAAACCUUAUCGAUAAACAAUUGGAGGGCAAGUCUGGUGCCAGCAGCCGCGGUAAUUCCAGCUCCAAUAGCGUAUAUUAACGUUGUUGCAGUUAAAAAGCUCGUAGUUGAAAUGAAGGGUAGUUGUGUAAUGAAUACAUUCGUGUAUUUUGUUAUUCUACUACCCUCCUUCUAAAUUCGAUAUAUGAGUAUUAAUUUACUUGUAUAUGGUUUUAGACGUUUACUGUGAGAAAAUUAGAGUGUUCAAAGCAGGCAUUUGCUUGAAUAUAUUAGCAUGGAAUAAUCAUGUAUGAUUUUCAUGAUGUAUUUGAUUGGUUUGGUUCAUGAGAAUAAGAUUAAAAGGGACAGUUGGGGGUAUUCAUAUUCAAUAGUCAGAGGUGAAAUUCUCGGAUUUAUGGAAGAUGAACAAGUGCGAAAGCAUUUACCAAGGAUGUUUUCAUUAAUCAAGAACGAAAGUUA